GAACCACUUCGGUGGGGAUUAGUGGCGAACGGGUGAGUAACACGUGGGCAAUCUGCCCUUCACUCUGGGACAAGCCCUGGAAACGGGGUCUAAUACCGGAUAACACUCCCGCACUCAUGUGCGGGGGUUAAAAGCUCCGGCGGUGAAGGAUGAGCCCGCGGCCUAUCAGCUUGUUGGUGAGGUAAUGGCUCACCAAGGCGACGACGGGUAGCCGGCCUGAGAGGGCGACCGGCCACACUGGGACUGAGACACGGCCCAGACUCCUACGGGAGGCAGCAGUGGGGAAUAUUGCACAAUGGGCGAAAGCCUGAUGCAGCGACGCCGCGUGAGGGAUGACGGCCUUCGGGUUGUAAACCUCUUUCAGCAGGGAAGAAGCGAAAGUGACGGUACCUGCAGAAGAAGCGCCGGCUAACUACGUG
rnacentral:rRNA from 1 species